GACAAGAUGGCAGAGUGGUUAAGGCGAUGGACUGCUAAUCCAUUGUUUAGUGCAAUCGUGGCUUUGAAUCCUAUCCUCGUCU
rnacentral:tRNA from 1 species